rnacentral:rRNA from 1 species
CAAUAGCGUAUAUUAAAGUUGUUGCAGUUAAAAAGCUCGUAGUUGGAUUUCGGGGCAGCCUGGCUGGUCCGCCGCAAGGCGAGUACUGGUCAGCCGCCCUUCCUCUCGAAAGCCCCGACUGCUCUUUAUUGCAGUGGUCGGGUAGUUCGGGACGUUUACUUUGAAAAAAUUAGAGUGUUCAAGGCAGGCCUACGCCUGAAUACAUUAGCAUGGAAUAAUGGAAGAGGACCUCGGUCCUAUUUUGUUGGUUUCCAGGACCGAAGUAAUGAUUAAGAGGGACAGUUGGGGGCAUUCGUAUUUAAUUGUCAGAGGUGAAAUUCUCGGAUUUAUGAAAGACGAACAGCUGCGAAAGCAUUUGCCAAGGAUGUUUUCAUUAA